CCUACGGGUGGCAGCAGUGGGGAAUAUUGGGCAAUGGGCGCAAGCCUGACCCAGCAACGCCGCGUGAAUGAAGAAGGCUUUCGGGUUGUAAACCUCUUUUCUCAGGGACGAAGAAAGUGACGGUACCUGAGGAAUAAGCCACGGCUAACUACGUGCCAGCAGCCGCGGUAAUACGUAGGUGGCAAGCGUUAUCCGGAUUUAUUGGGUGGAAAGGGCGUGUAGGCGGGUGAGCAAGUCAGAUGUGAAAACGCAGGGCUCAACCCUGGGACUGCAUUUGAAACUGUGGUUCUUGAGUGCUGGGGAGGGAAUGGGAAUUCCGGGUGUAGCGGUGAAAUGCGUAGAUAUACGGAGGAACACCAGUGGCGAAGGCGGAUUGCUGGACAGUAACUGACGCUGAGGCGCGAAAGCGUGGGGAGCAAACAGGAUUAGAUACCCUUGUAGUC
rnacentral:rRNA from 1 species